rnacentral:rRNA from 1 species
UACGUAGGGCGCAAGCGUUAUCCGGAAUUAUUGGGCGUAAAGAGCUCGUAGGCGGUUUGUCGCGUCUGCCGUGAAAGUCCGGGCUCAACUCCGGAUCUGCGGUGGGUACGGGCAGACUAGAGUGAUGUAGGGGAGACUGGAAUUCCUGGUGUAGCGGUGAAAUGCGCAGAUAUCGAGGAGGAACACCGAUGGCGAAGGCAGGUCUCGUGGGCAUUAACUGACGCUGGAGGAGCGAAAGCAU